UACAGAGGUCUCAAGCGUUGUUCGGAUUCAUUGGGCGUAAAGGGUGCGUAGGCGGCGCGGUAAGUCGGGUGUGAAAUCUCGGAGCUUAACUUCGAAACUGCAUUCGAUACUGCCGUGCUUGAGGACUGGAGAGGAGACUGGAAUUUACGGUGUAGCGGUGAAAUGCGUAGAUAUCGUAAGGAAGACCAGUGGCGAAGGCGGGUCUCUGGACAGUUCCUGACGCUGAGGCACGAAGGUCAAGGGAGCAAACGGG
rnacentral:rRNA from 1 species